CCCGCCUUUCUCUCUCUGCAUUCUCCUUCCCCAUCUUUUACUCUCUCUCUCUCUCUCAACCUUUACCUUUUGCUCGGUUCCAAAGCAUUGUGGAUUGACCAAAUCCAAACAAAUCACCCUUCUCCCCAACGCACAUGACUCUCUGCCCCGCCUCUUUCGCCAUCAGCAGCUUCUAACCCCGCACCACAUCUUGCACGUCGACUGGCUUGGAUGCAGGUAGGCAGCUCGGUGGUGUAGUAUUUGCUGCCAUAGGAUUUGCAUUAGCAUAUCUUCAAGAUGAAUGCAGGAGAUACAGAUGGAAAUAUUAGUGUGGCAUGCACAUUUGGUGAACAACAGGUUUUUCCUAUGCUUCCAGUGGUAACUGAUGAUAUUAUGGCCCGACGGCUCAAGAACAGGGAGCGGCAGCGAAGGUACAGGGCGAGGAAGCGCCUUGAAUCAGAUAUGAAAAGGUCAUGCUUGCUGGGCCAACAUACAGCACUGGAAAACGAAACACGAGUUGAUUUUGCUACUGUUCAGUUCAAUUCAGGGGAAAUUUCAUUUCCAUCCGAAACAAACGUGAACAUCGCUGCUAUGACGAUGGAGGCAUGCACCUACAGUGGCAGAAAAUGGAAAAAGGAUGCAAGAGAAGCUCAUGCAUCUAAAGAACCUGAAAACAUGUUGCACUGGUCACUUGUACCCAUGAGAUCACCAUCAGAAUCGGAAACCGCCGUUUGUUACCGCAUACAUCAAACUAGUAGAAGAAAUUGGAAAGCUGAUGCAAGAACAAAAUCAAAGACCGGCAGUCAUGGAUGA